UAGCCGGUCAUGUGGCUGUAUCAGCACAGACUCUCAACCUGCCAAAAUUGAGGGCCUGUUUGGGGAUGCAGAUCGUGGCGUGUGUAGCUUCCAUCAUUAACAUCAUCUUUACCGUGAUCAUGCUGGCAACCCCUUAUGGUAGCUGCUGGAUAUAUCAUUAUGAAGCUGAGAACAGCACAAUCAACUAUGAAGAACUCUGUCAUAUGUUUGAGAACACCCACUCCAACUUU